UACGUAGGGCGCAAGCGUUAUCCGGAAUUAUUGGGCGUAAAGAGCUCGUAGGCGGUUUGUCGCGUCUGCCGUGAAAGUCCGGGGCUCAACUCCGGAUCUGCGGUGGGUACGGGCAGACUAGAGUGAUGUAGGGGAGACUGGAAUUCCUGGUGUAGCGGUGAAAUGCGCAGAUAUCUGGAGGAACACCGGUGGCGAAGGCGGCAUCCUGGACCAAUACUGACGCUGAGGAGCGAAAGCCAGGGGAGCAAACGGG
rnacentral:rRNA from 1 species